rnacentral:rRNA from 1 species
GACGAACGCUGGCGGCGUGCUUAACACAUGCAAGUCGAACGGUGAAGGGACUGGUUUUGCUGGUCCUGGAUGAGUGGCGAACGGGUGAGUAACACGUGAGUAACCUGCCCCCUUCUUCUGGAUAACCGCAUGAAAGUGUGGCUAAUACGGGAUAUUCUGGGUCUGUCGCAUGGUGGGCCUGGGAAAGAUUGCGCCUUUUUUGGUGUUUUUGGUGGGGGAUGGGCUCGCGGCCUAUCAGCUUGUUGGUGGGGUGAUGGCCUACCAAGGCGGUGACGGGUAGCCGGCCUGAGAGGGUGGACGGGCACACUGGGACUGAGACACGGCCCAGACUCCUACGGGAGGCAGCAGUGGGGAAUAGUGCACAAUGGGCGCAAGCCUGAUGCAGCGACGCCGCGUGAGGGAUGGAGGCCUUCGGGUUGUGAACCUCUUUCGCCAGUGAAGCAGGCCUGCCUCUUUUUGUGGGUGGGUUGACGGUAGCUGGAUAAGAAGCGCCGGCUAACUACGUG